rnacentral:rRNA from 1 species
CUGAAUAACUCAGUUGAUCGCAUGGUCUCGCACCGGCGACGUAUCUUCCAAGUGUCUGCCUUAUCAACUUUUGAUGGUAGUUUAUGCGACUACCAUGGUUGUAACGGGUAACGGAGAAUCAGGGUUCGACUCCGGAGAGGGAGCCUGAGAAACGGCUACCACAUCCAAGGAAGGCAGCAGGCGCGCAAAUUACCCAAUCUCGGAACGAGGAGGUAGUGACGAUAAAUAACGAGAUGGUUCUCUAUGAGGCCCAUUAUCGGAAUGAGUACAAUUCAAACCUUUUAACGAGGAUCUACGAGAGGGCCAGUCUGGUGCCAGCAGCCGCGGUAAUUCCAGCUCUCGAAGUGUAUAUCAUUGUUGUUGCGGUUAAAAA